rnacentral:lncRNA from 1 species
CCUUUUGAACUAAUCACAAGCUCACCCCUCUCGCUUCGCCUCCAAAGCCCCUACCCGCCGCCGCCGCCGUCGCCCGUCGGCCGCGAGCCGCUGAUUCCGGGUCGUCUCCGGCGGGAGGAUAUGCUCCGGCGUCGUCUCGUGAUGCGCCAGGAACUCUCACACAACUCCUCUGUGCUGCUCCCAGGAAAAGAUCAUGGUGGCCUCAUCAUUCCAAUGGUGCGGAGGCAGCCCCCCCUCGCUGUCGCUCGCACGGGCAUGUCCGCCACUGGAAGCCGGUGCUCUGCUGCUGCUGCUGCCGGGGGGAAUCAAUGGAACGCCAUUGCCGUUGCCAGCACACAUUGCACUGCACUGUUCAUUGGUCAAUAUCAGAUUUGCAAUUACCAUCAGAUUGAUCAAGUGGGAGUAAAAAGGUGGCUGGUGGUGAAGGAUGAGAAAGAGGAGGGCAUACGAGGCCACAUUCUGCCAAUGGCACCUGAGCUAUGCAAAAUAUGCCGCUCGUGGGCAAUUGUUGCUGCUGCAGCAGCAGCAGCCUUCCUCCACUUCCACCACCGGCGCCACAAGAAAAGACGACGACGACCGACGCCGACGCCGACGAUCGACGAGGUGAUACCGAGCUUGGUGCGGUGGUGA